CUAACGAAUAUGACCGAUUCUUCUAGCUCGCCGAUGCAAAAGUUGAAAAACUGAAAAAACUGAGGGUCGAUGAAGUCCGACAAUUAAAAGAACAAAUCGACGCUUUGGAGGGUUCAAGAAUAUUUUACCUGAAAAUUUACAAUGAUGCAAGGAAGCAAUUGUCACUGAAGCCGAUCAUCGUCGGUGAGGAGCAAUCGGUGAAAAUAAGUGCAAACAUGUCAGUGGUUGAUGAAGGUGACUGUGAUUUUGAUGACGAAACGCAAAACGGUUCGAACCAUUCGAUCGGCAAUUCAAUUAGAAAUC